rnacentral:rRNA from 1 species
GAUGAACGCUAGCGGCAGGCUUAAUACAUGCAAGUCGAGGGGCAGCACGGGUAGCAAUACUUGGUGGCGACCGGCGCACGGGUGCGUAACACGUAUACAACCUACCUAUAACAGGGGGAUAGCCUUUUGAAAGAGAGAUUAAUAACCCGUAAUAAGUGGAAUGGCAUCAUUUGACUUUGAAAGUUCCGACGGUUACAGAUGGGAAGGCGUCCUAUUGACUAGUUGGUGGUGUAAUGGUCCACCAAGGCGACGAUAGGUAGGGGAUCUGAGAGGACUAACCCCCACACUGGUACUGAGACACGGACCAGACUCCUACGGGAGGCAGCAGUAAGGAAUAUUGGACAAUGGUCGCAAGACUGAUCCAGCCAUGCCGCGUGCAGGAAGACGGCCCUAUGGGUUGUAAACUGCUUUUGUACCAGAGAAAACCUACUCACGUGUGAGUAGCUGAUAGUAUGGUAAGAAUAAGCAUCGGCUAACUUCGUGCCAGCCGCCGCCGUAACAC